GACAAGAAGCAACCUAGAAGACCCGUCAUUGCUUCAGUAAUGUGAUGUGGUUGUUAUCAUAAAGUAGAAAAAGAUAUUUUUGUGUUCCAAUCAAAUCGUUUAAUCAUCCACCGGUGUUCCUGGAAGACUAGGUCUUGGUUUAUCCAAGAAUCAAAUUCCCAACAAAAAGACAAGGCGGCCGCCAGCAGCAGCCUUAGCUUCCAUGGAAAAGCUUCAGAGGCUUAAUUGGCAAAACGAGCACGAUGUUGUGGUUGACAGAAGAUAGAGAGCACAAAUGAACAUAUACACCCAGUCACCCAGACCCAGGAAAAUGAUUGUGUAUGAUCAGUUUUGUGCUCUCUUUUCUUCUGCCAACAUAUUAUAUAUAUUAUGAUCUUCCUGCAGUUCCAGUUUCCAGAAAUAUGCAGAUAUGCCGGCCCUUCGUUACCGAUGCUAUAUAUUCUUCUUAUAUAAUAUGAUCUUCCAAAGAAGGUAAGAGUUAGUGAUUACAUGUAUAUAUAUAUAUAUAUAUAGUCUCAUGAUCUUAGUGAUUACAUGUAUAUAUAAGCUCAGAUUAAUUGCACGGAGCAGCAAUUCUUUCUUGGCUCAAGCUCAAGGUACGCAAUCAGAUAUUGGAACUUUAUUUGUCUAGCUGCUUGUGCUUGGUGGUCACCUUUAACAUGGAACAUGUACAUGUAAUGACCGUAUGCUUACCCAAAAAGCUAGAGCAAUUAAUUUUAAGUGCAAUGCAAUGGAUGUGGAUGAUGGGGUUGGAGCUCAGAUGGGUCAAAACACAACACGUACGUUCUUGCUCUUGAGGAGCAGCAGCGUUGUUUGAACUUUGCUACAGAUAAUGAAUGCUGCUGCAAGGGGUUGCCAGAUCUCUCUAGUUUGUUGGUUUUCAUACUUGGGGAAAUGUUGUCUUUGGAUUCUAUAACUAUCAAUUGAUGGAGAGAGAGGCUUCUUCUCUUCUUCUAUCGAUCAAUCAAUCAAUCAAUCAAUCAAGGCUAUGUGUGUAUAUAUCACUCAGUUAGUCAUUCAGUCACAUGAUCGGUUCACUGUUCAUCCAUCUUAUCUUAAUUGGUUUUACAGAAUGUCUUC